AAUAGAGAAGUUAAUAUACAUUUAGUUUCGACCUAAAAUUUAAGAAAAAAAUUCUUCCUAUUU
rnacentral:tRNA from 1 species